GGUGUUAAGAAGAAGUAAUUUACUCGAUGAUUCACUUGGUUGUAGUGCUGGUAGGGAAUGGUCGGAAGGAAAAGCAUGCAAAGUAUGUAAGUGCAUCAUUAAAACAGAUGUAUCAUUGUUUUAGGUGUUGUAUUAACAAAUGUGCCAGAGCUUCUCUCGGCCUGCCAUAAGAAGAUUAUCCAGCAGGUGGAGUUUGACAGGAUGGUGUGCACAGGCCAAGUAGACAAGUGUUCCUAUGGAACUGAUUUUCUGACCAGGCUGCGUCAUGGAAGGGAAAUGUAACUUGAAGAAGUACAGUUGUGGUGGAGGAACAUGUGUGCUAAGCCCUAAGACCUGUAGCAAUAUCCAGAACAACAAAGACAAGAGAAGGAAAGUAAGGAAAGAAAAAUGACUCACUACUUGUACGUUGAAGAUCACAUUCAGAAAUAGUGACGAGAAAGGCAUUUAUGUCAGGAAAACACAAUGGUUUGAGUGCUCAUUGAAAGUAAAUGCAAGAGCUGCCUUGGUAUUACUAAAAAUAUACUUUUGGAAGGACUCAGAAACAGGGCAUUUGGAAUGAAGAACUCAAACUGCAUUGUAGGCUGAACUAAUGUCUGAGGUUUAAAUAUAUGUGGGAACUAUAUUAUAUAGUUC